AUGCAAGUCGUGCGAGAAAGUAUCUUCGGAUAUGAGUAGAGCGGCGGACGGGUGAGUAACGCGUAGGAAUCUACCUAGUAGAAGGGGAUAGCCCGGGGAAACCCGGAUUAAUACCGUAUACCUCCUUCGGGAGAAAGAAGGCCUCUCUUUGAAGCUUUCGCUAUUAGAUGAGCCUGCGUAAGAUUAGCUUGUUGGUGAGGUAAAGGCUCACCAAGGCGACGAUCUUUAGCUGGUCUGAGAGGACGAUCAGCCACAUUGGGACUGAGACACGGCCCAGACUCCUACGGGAGGCAGCAGUGGGGAAUAUUGGACAAUGGGCGCAAGCCUGAUCCAGCCAUACCGCGUGUGUGAAGAAGGCCUUCGGGUUGUAAAGCACUUUAAGCAGGGAGAAAAAGUUAUAAGUUAAUACCUUAUAACCGUGAUGUUACCUGCAGAAUAAGCACCGGCUAAUUCCGUGCCAGCAGCCGCGGUAAUACGGAAGGUGCAAGCGUUAAUCGGAAUUACUGGGCGUAAAGCGCGCGUAGGUGGUUUGUUAAGUUGGAUGUGAAAGCCCUGGGCUCAACCUAGGAACUGCAUCCAAAACUAACUCACUAGAGUACGAUAGAGGGAGGUAGAAUUCAUAGUGUAGCGGUGGAAUGCGUAGAUAUUAUGAAGAAUACCAGUGGCGAAGGCGGCCUCCUGGAUCUGUACUGACACUGAGGUGCGAAAGCGUGGGUAGCGAACAGGAUUAGAUACCCUGGUAGUCCACGCCGUAAACGAUGACAACUAGCUGUUGGAAGACAAUGUCUUUCAGUGGCGCAGCUAACGUUUUAAGUUGUCCGCCUGGGGAGUACGGCCGCAAGGCUAAAACUCAAAUGAAUUGACGGGGACCCGCACAAGCGGUGGAGCAUGUGGUUUAUUCGAUGCAACGCGAAAACCUUACCUACUCUUGACAUACUUGAAGCUCUUGUAAUGAGAGUGUGCCUUUUGAGCCAAGAUACAGGUGCUGCAUGGCUGUCGUCAGCUCGUGUCGUGAGAUGUUCCGUUAAGUCGGAUAACGAGCGCAAUC
rnacentral:rRNA from 1 species